rnacentral:rRNA from 1 species
UACGUAGGUGGCAAGCGUUGUCCGGAUUUAUUGGGUUUAAAGGGUGCGUAGGCGGCUUUGUAAGUCAGUGGUGAAAUAUGGCAGCUCAACUGUCAGGGUGCCAUUGAUACUGCGGAGCUUGAGUACAGAUGAGGUAGGCGGAAUUGACGGUGUAGCGGUGAAAUGCUUAGAUAUCGUCAAGAACACCGAUAGCGAAGGCAGCUUACUAGGCUGUAACUGACGCUGAGGCACGAAAAGUGUGGGGGGAUCAAACAG